rnacentral:rRNA from 1 species
GGGGACCCGCAAGCGGUGGAGCAUGUGGUUUAAUUCGAAGCAACGCGAAGAACCUUACCAGGUCUUGACAUCCUCUGACCACCCUAGAGAUAGGGACUUCCCCUUCGGGGGACAGAGUGACAGGUGGUGCAUGGUUGUCGUCAGCUCGUGUCGUGAGAUGUUGGGUUAAGUCCCGCAACGAGCGCAACCCUUGUCCUUAGUUGCCAGCAUUCAGUUGGGCACUCUAAGGAGACUGCCGGUGACAAACCGGAGGAAGGUGGGGAUGACGUCAAAUCAUCAUGCCCCUUAUGACCUGGGCUACACACGUGCUACAAUGGAUGGUACAAAGGGUUGCGAAGCCGUGAGGUGUAGCUAAUCCCAUAAAACCAUUCUCAGUUCGGAUUGUAGGCUGCAACUCGCCUACAUGAAGCCGGAAUCGCUAGUAAUCGCGGAUCAGAAUGCCGCGGUGAAUACGUUCCCGGGUCUUGUACACACC